AGUGAUAUAUAUUUGGAGAUAAUGUUAUGUCCAGUUUUGAUGCAACGGGCCAUUUGGAGUGUUACUAGAUUUUGUAUAAAUCCUGUAUUUAAAAAAAUUUCAAGUCAAUAACAAUCAUACUUUAUUAUUAAUUAUUGGAAAAUAAUAUGACAUUCUCUACAGCAAUGAAUAUAAAGAAAAUAGCAAAGAGAUUUCUUAAUAAUAAAAACCAACAAUAUGCUGCUAAUUAUCCAUAUACUGUGAAUAAUUAUUAUUGUUACAUUAUAUAUACAAUUUCCAAAUAGAGAAUUAUUAUAAUUAUUUCAA